rnacentral:lncRNA from 1 species
UCAUCCUUGGAUUCAUUCCUCAUAACAAAAUUCAUGGAAAACAUCAGUGAGGAAGAACAAAUCAGUAUCAUCAAGGUGGCCUCAGAACUAGUGACAGCGGUACGUACCCUGAAGCAGUCUCUUCCUGUCUUUAGUCAGGAGCGCCAAUCUGAUCCUGGGUCCUCACUGGAAUGAAAAUCACAGAUUGGGCGGUGGAGAAUAUUGAGGAUGAAAUUCCUGAAGAGGAAGAAACCUCAGGUCCGGAAGCACAAUGAGGCGGGAAUCAACAGGAGGGGGUCCCUGGUGCAGUUGGAGUAUACCUGCUACUUUGUAGACUGAGUGGGCGGGAUGAAAUAAAG